rnacentral:lncRNA from 1 species
UUCUUGUUUUUGUUCAGUCCAUUGAAAGGGCUAAAGAACUUUUUCAUGAGCUCAUAUAUGAAGGUAUUAAUGUGGAUGUUAUUCAUGCAGAGAGAACACAACAACAGAGAGAUAACACAGUCCACAGUUUCAGAGCAGGAAAAAUCUGGGUUCUGAUUUGUACAGCCUUGCUAGCAAGAGGGAUUGAUUUUAAAGGUGUGAACUUGGUGAUCAACUAUGACUUUCCAACCAGCUCAGUGGAAUAUAUCCACAGGAUAGGUCGAACUGGAAGAGCAGGGAAUAAGGGAAAAGCAAUUACAUUUUUCACUGAGGAUGAUAAGCCAUUAUUAAGAAGCGUUGCUAAUGUUAUACAGCAGGCUGGGUGUCCUGUACCAGAAUACAUAAAAGGUUUUCAGAAACUACUAAGCAAACAAAAGAAAAAGAUGAUUAAGAAACCAUUGGAAAGGGAGAGCAUUAGUACAACUCCAAAAUGUUUCUUAGAAAAAGCUAAGGAUAAACAGUAAGUAUGUGGUAAGAAAAAUGGCUGUUUGACACCAUCAUAAAGUUAUAGUAGGCAUAAUUUUUCUUUAGGUAAAUUUUUAGAAGUAGAAUUGAUACUACAGUCUGUUAUAAAACGUGAUAAAAAUAAUAUAUUUUAGGUUGC